rnacentral:rRNA from 1 species
AACGAGUACAGAGAAUCAGGGUUUGGUUCUGGAGAGGCCGCCUGAGAAACGGCGACCACUUCCAAGGAAGGCAGCAGGCGCGCAAAUUACCCACUCUCAAAAUGAGGAGGUAGUGAAGAGAAAUAACGAUGUUAGUCUUUUCAAGGCUGACAAUCGGAAUGGGAACACUGUAAAAAGGUUAUCGAUUAACAAUUGGAGGGCAAGUCUGGUGCCAGCAGCCGCGGUAAUUCCAGCUCCAAUAAGGAAAACUAAAGUUGCUGUGUUUAAAAAGCUCGUAGUUGAAUUUCGGGUAUUUGUUGCUAGUUGGUCUAACUGGCCAUAUUGGUUAACAGAUCCUCAUUUGCUGGACGGCUGGCGAUGAUCUUUAUCGAUUGUCGUCAGUUGCCAGAACGUUUACUUUGAGAAAAUUAGAGUGCUAAAAGCAGGCUCACGCCUAUAUAUAUUGCAUGGAAUAAUGAAAUAAGAAUCUCGAUUUUAUUUCGUUGGUUUUAGAAAUUGAGAUAAUGAUAAUAGGAUCAGA